UCUGUCUCUCUUCUGAUAUCAAUGCCUCACACUCUAUUCCAGUAGGUGGCGGAAUAUGCACCAAAGCUGGUUUGCCAACCGCAAUUAAACGUCAAAGUAGAAGGAGACAUUAAACCCACAGAAGAAGAAAAAAGAAGAAGAAGCUCACGAUUAGUUCCUCCCACAACAAUUGCAGAACCCUGCAGAAUGAAACACACUGAAGAUACUGAAGAACAAACAGAGCUGAUGGAAAAGAACGAGGAGAGUAAAGAACUGAGUGAAGUGGAGGAGGAACAUCAUGACAAAAUGAUACCUGAUGGAUGUGAACAAGGAAAAACGGAAGAAGAAGAAAAUUGUGAGCUGCCCUCAGUGUAAAAAGAGGCGAAGAAACACCUGAGGAUUAACAAAGGAGAAGACUCAUUCAUUAUAUUACAGCAGAAAAGACACGGCGGUGUGUGUUUAAGCGCAGAAAGUCCUUUACUACAGAAGAUGAACUGAAAGAGCACCAGAAAAUUCACACUGGAAACCUUUCAAGGCAUAGUUCAGGGGGCUGAAGAAGAGGCAAUGACACUUUUAAGAGAGACAUGAAUCUGAUAUACAUUUUUAACUUGUU